CCUACGGGUGGCAGCAGUGGGGAAUAUUGCGCAAUGGGGGAAACCCUGACGCAGCAACGCCGCGUGAGUGAGGAAGUAUCUCGGUAUGUAAAGCUCUAUCAGCGGGGAAGAAGGAAGACGGUACCCGACUAAGAAGCCCCGGCUAACUACGUGCCAGCAGCCGCGGUAAUACGUAGGGGGCGAGCGUUAUCCGGAUUUACUGGGUGUAAAGCGCUCGUAGGCGGUAUGUCAAGUCAAGGGUGAAAUCCCCGCGCUCAACGUGGGAACUGCCUUUGAAACUGGCAAACUGGAGUGUGUGAGAGGAUAGUGGAAUUCCAGGUGUAGGAGUGAAAUCCGUAGAUAUCUGGAGGAACAUCAGUGGCGAAGGCGACUAUCUGGCACAUAACUGACGCUGAGGAGCGAAAGCGUGGGUAGCAAACAGGAUUAGAUACCCCAGUAGUC
rnacentral:rRNA from 1 species